UAAUACAGAGGGUGCAAGCGUUAAUCGGAAUUACUGGGCGUAAAGGGUGCGUAGGUGGUUGAAUAAGUUGGGUGUGAAAGUCCUGGGCUUAACCUGGGGAUUGCAUUUGAGACUGUUUAACUAGAGUACUGUAGAGGAAGGUGGAAUUUCCAGUGUAGCGGUGAAAUGCGUAGAUAUUGGAAGGAACAUCAGUGGCGAAGGCGACUUUCUGGACAGAUACUGACACUGAGGCACGAAAGCAUGGGUAGCAAACAGGAUUAGAUACCCUGGUAGUCCAUGCUGUAAACGAUGAGAACUGGCUGUUGGGUGCCAUAGGCAUUUAGUAGCGAAGCUAACGCGUUAAGUUCUCCGCCUGGGGAGUACGGCCGCAAGGUUA
rnacentral:rRNA from 1 species